AACGAACGCUGGCGGCAUGCAUAACAGAUGCAAGUCGAACGAGACCUUCGGGACUCGUGGCGCACGGGUGCGUAACGCCAGGGAACCUGCCCUUAGGUUCGGAAUAACUCCCCGAAAGGGGUGCUAAUACCGGAUAAUCUCUUCGAACCCACGACUUAUUGCCCUUGGAUGGGCCCGCGUUGGAUUAGCUAGCUGGUAGGGUAAAAGCCUUCCAAGGCGACGAUCCAUAGUUGGUCUGGGUGGAUGAGCCGCCACACUGGGACUGAGACACCGCCCAGACUCCGACGGGCGGCAGCAGUUGGGAAUGUUGGACCCUCGGCGAAAAGCUGUGUCAGCCAUGCCGCGUCACUGUUGCAGUGCCUAGGGUUGUAAAGCUCUUUUACCCUGGAUGAUAAUGACAGUACCGGGAGUAUAAGCUCCGGCUAACUCCGUG
rnacentral:rRNA from 1 species